CUCAUUUCCUGACCUUGUGAUCCGCCUGCCUCAGCCUCCUAAAUAGCUGGGAUUACAGGCAUGCACCAACACGCCCAGCUGAUUUUUGUAUUUUUAGUAGAGACAGGGUUUCACUAUGUUGGUCAGGCUGAUCUCAAACUCCUGACCUCAGGUGAUCCGCCUGCCUCAGCCUCCCAAAGUGCUGGGAUUACAGGGAUUACAGGCAUGAGCCACCAUACCCAGCCCAAUGUUUUUAAGUUUUUAAAGUUAUUUCUCCUGGGAGUCAUGGCUCACACCUGUAAUCCUAGCACUUUGGGAGGCCGAGGCGGGCGGAUAACGAGAUUAAGACCAUCCUGGCCAACAUGGUGAAACCCCAUCUCAACUAAAAAUACAAAAAUUGGUUGGGCGUGGUGGCGCAUGCCUGUAGUCCCAGCUACUCGGGAGGCUGAGGCAGGAGAAUCGCUUGAACCAGGGAGGCGGAGGUUGCAGUGAGAUGAGA
rnacentral:lncRNA from 1 species